UACGGGGGGGGCAAGCGUUGUUCGGAAUUACUGGGCGUAAAGGGCGCGUAGGCGGCCUGCUAAGUCGGAUGUGAAAUCCCUCGGCUCAACCGAGGAACUGCAUCCGAUACUGGCGGGCUUGAAUCCGGGAGAGGGAUGUGGAAUUCCAGGUGUAGCGGUGAAAUGCGUAGAUAUCGUGGAGAACACCCGUGGCGAAGGCGGGCUUCUGGCUAAUUACUGACGCUGAGGUGCGAAAGCUAGGGGAGCGAACGGG
rnacentral:rRNA from 1 species